AUAGAUGUGAUGAUCAUUUCCCCAGAUGAUCGAAGCUGAAAUUACUGAGCCUUUUACUAUAUUUCUCCUUAUAGGGGAUAAUCCAAGCAAGAUAUUCUGAUCCAU